rnacentral:rRNA from 1 species
AACGAACGCUGGCGGCAGGCUUAACACAUGCAAGUCGAACGGAUCCUUCGGGAUUAGUGGCAGACGGGUGAGUAACGCGUGGGAACGUACCCUUUGCUACGGAAUAACUCAGGGAAACUUGAGCUAAUACCGUAUGUGCCCUACGGGGGAAAGAUUUAUCGGCAAAGGAUCGGCCCGCGUUGGUUUAGCUAGUUGGUGGGGUAAUGGCCUACCAAGGCGACGAUCCAUAGCUGGUCUGAGAGGAUGAUCAGCCACACUGGGACUGAGACACGGCGCAGACUCCUGCGGGAGGCAGCAGUGGGGAAUAUUGGCCAAUGGGCGCAAGCCUGAUCCAGCCAUGCCGCGUGAGUGAUGAAGGUCUUAGGAUUGUAAAGCUCUUUAACCGGUGAAGAUAAUGACGGUAGCCGGAGAAGAAGCCCCGGCUAACUUCGUG